GCCAUCUUGGCAUGGCCUUCUCAUCCCACCACACAUCACUACUUGAUAUUUUUAUAGUUUCCUUUUUUCCUUAAGCAGAAUCAAUUUUCCAUGUGGAUAGAAAUUUUUCAGGCAAGUGUAGCACUGGGAAAAGUUCUACAGAUAUCUCUACCAAUUGCCCUGUGACUUAAGGUGACUUCCUUGAAAGAUGUCAAGAAGUCAUCAUGGACAUUUGCUUUACAACUCCUGAGAAAGUUUUCACAGUUCUGUUUUCCUGCCUUCUGUUCAGGAUGUUUAAAAAAGUUUGGCCUGAAAAAUCGCUUUAGACUCUCAAAAAUCUUCUGUUCUAUACAAAUUGUAGUUGCUCAAAAAACGUUGCUUCAAUUGAAUUAAAAGGUUUAUUCUAACGAUUUUUCUGGGAGUCACAAAAACAGUAAAGAAACGUAAUUUUCAAAAUUAAUUUAAUCUCUUUGUAAGUCAUCAUAUUAUGUUUGUGAAUAAUUCCCAUGGACUCUUGACAAUAAACCACUUCAAUUAAUUAUACA
rnacentral:lncRNA from 1 species